UCUAUAGAGUUUUUCAGCGGUAGUGGGUCCGAAUGGAAGUGGUAAAAGCAACAUCAUAGAUGCAAUGCUCUUUGUAUUUGGGAAACGAGCUAAGCAGGUAAGCUCCAUUUAUAUGUGGGAAUCUAAUCAGGGUCGACAUUGUUGGUUUAUCUAGUGCUUAGAAACCUGUAGAAUGGACUAGUUUAACGAGUUUUAGAAUCUGAUAAGACUUCACAUUGUUGACUUGGUUUGAGUUAAGGAGGUAACUUGAUAUUUUACUUUGAGACAAGUUAGUAAUCAUCCAAUGAUUGUUGCAUGCCACUGUGAAUGUAAAGGGUGAAAAUUUUAGGGAGACAGUAAUCUAAAAAGCAAAUUUUGGGGUCGUUCAAUCCAGCUUGAUCCUAUUGGUCUUGUAACUCUUGAGUUUGAUGAUGGUGAAGUUUUUCAGUGGAGCAAGGUCACAGCUUUUGUGUUCUACCAAUCACCAAUCACCAAAACUCAGACAGUGCAGGCGUUUCUGUUUCCAUUCAGGAGAUAAUUAAUAUGGAUGAUGGAACAUAUGAAGCUAUUGCAAGAAGUGACUUUGUCAUUACUAGAGUUGUAUUUCGAGACAACUCUUCAAAGUACUACAUAAAUGACCAUGGAAGUAAUUUUACAGAGGUCACUAAAAAAUUAAAAGGAAAAUGAGUGGACUUGGACAACAAUCGGUUUCUGAUUCUUCAAGUAGGUGAUGGGCUAAUGGCUGAAAAGGGCCUAUUUACUUGUGAAAAAAUACCAUACCAUCAAAAUCUAUCUUCUCUUUCAUUCUUUAUCAUGAAAAUUUUAGGGUGAAGUUGAGCAAAUUUCUCUAAUGAAGCCAAAGGCCAGGAUGAAGGAUGUACCUGGCCAUAUGAGAGUGCACACCGACUCACCAAGAUUUGUAUUUUCAGCAUUAUUGUAAUUGUAAUUGAUUGAAUGAAGGAUUGUAA